rnacentral:rRNA from 1 species
GUCUACAGCCAUGCCACCCUGAAUGUGCCUGAUCUUGUCUGAUCUCGGAGGCUAAGCAGGGUCAGGCCUGGUUAUUACUUGCAUGGGAGACCACCUAGGAAGACAAGAUGAUGUAGGUG